rnacentral:rRNA from 1 species
UCCGGUUCUCGUUCGAUCACCCGAAGUUAGAAAGCAUCAUUGGGCGCGGUCAGUACUUGGGUGGGUGACCACCUGGGGAACACCGCGUGCCGUU